CGGGGAGGUAGUGACGAAAAAUAACGAUACGGGACUCAUCCGAGGCCCCGUAAUCGGAAUGAGUACACUUUAAAUCCUUUAACGAGGACCAAUUGGAGGGCAAGUCUGGUGCCAGCAGCCGCGGUAAUUCCAGCUCCAAUAGCGUAUAUUAAAGUUGUUGCGGUUAAAAAGCUCGUAGUUGGAUCUGUGUGUCACAGUGUCGGUUCACCGCUCGCGGUGUUUAACUGGCAUUAUGUGAUACGUCCUAUCGGUGGGCUUAGCUCCUCGCGGGCGGUCCAACUAAUCUCCCAUCGCGGUGCUCUUCACUGAGUGUCGAGGUGGGCCGAUACGUUUACUUUGAACAAAUUAGAGUGCUUAAAGCAGGCUACCUUCGCCUGAAUACUUCGUGCAUGGAAUAAUGGAAUAGGACCUCGGUUCUAUUUUGUUGGUUUUCGGAGCCCCGAGGUAAUGAUUAAUAGGGACAGAUGGGGGCAUUCGUAUUGCGACGUUAGAGGUGAAAUUCUUGGAUCGUCGCAAGACGGACAGAAGCGAAAGCAUUUGCCAAAAAUGUUUUCAUUAAUCAAGAACGAAAGUUAGAGGUUCGAAGGCGAUCAGAUACCGCCCUAGUUCUAACCAUAAACGAUGCCAGCCAGCGAUCCGCCGAAGUUCUUCAGAUGACUCGGCGGGCAGCUUCCGGGAAACCAAAGCUUUUGGGUUCCGGGGGAAGUAUGGUUGCAAAGCUGAAACUUAAAGGAAUUGACGGAAGGGCACCACCAGGAGUGGAGCCUGCGGCUUAAUUUGACUC
rnacentral:rRNA from 1 species